rnacentral:rRNA from 1 species
CCUACGGGAGGCAGCAGUGGGGAAUUUUGGACAAUGGACGAAAGUCUGAUCCAGCCAUGCCGCGUGCGGGAAGAAGGCCUUCGGGUUGUAAACCGCUUUUGUCAGGGAAGAAAAGCUCCGGACUAAUAAUUUGGGGUGAUGACGGUACCUGAAGAAUAAGCACCGGCUAACUACGUGCCAGCAGCCGCGGUAAUACGUAGGGUGCAAGCGUUAAUCGGAAUUACUGGGCGUAAAGCGUGCGCAGGCGGUUCUAUAAGACAGAUGUGAAAUCCCCGGGCUCAACCUGGGAACUGCAUUUGUGACUGUAGAGCUGGAGUACGGCAGAGGGGGAUGGAAUUCCGCGUGUAGCAGUGAAAUGCGUAGAUAUGCGGAGGAACACCGAUGGCGAAGGCAAUCCCCUGGGCCUGUACUGACGCUCAUGCACGAAAGCGUGGGGAGCAAACAGGAUUAGAUACCCUGGUAGUCCACGCCCUAAACCGAUGUCAACUGGUUGUUGGGAAGGUUCCUUCUCAGUAACGUAGCUAACGCGUGAAGUUGACCGCCGUGGGGGNGGUACGGCCGGCGAGGUUAGUUAACGUUACGUAAGUUAGUUAGUUAGUUACGGCGUUGAGACGUUGCCGACGGACGACCGACGAGGGGAGGUUAGGG